UACGUAGGGUGCGAGCGUUAAUCGGAAUUACUGGGCGUAAAGCGUGCGCAGGCGGUUAUGCAAGACAGAUGUGAAAUCCCCGGGCUCAACCUGGGAACUGCAUUUGUGACUGCAUGGCUAGAGUGCGGCAGAGGGGGAUGGAAUUCCGCGUGUAGCAGUGAAAUGCGUAGAUAUGUGGAGGAACAUCAGUGGCGAAGGCGGCUACCUGGCCCAAUACUGACACUCAGGUGCGACAGCGUGGGGAGCGAACAGG
rnacentral:rRNA from 1 species